UUGUAGUUUAGUUAGUGUUUGGCUGUUAGUGUAAUUGGGAAAGUAUUUCGGGUUUAGUGUUCAUAUCGUCUUAGUAUUGGUGAGUAGGUGUAGUGUAGUAUGGUUGCGGUGACUCUGUGGGCAUUUUACCCGCGAUUCUGCACGCCUCCGUUUGAAGAGGGAGGCUGCCCACCGUGGCUCUUCCGCGAUUUAGAUGCAGCCCACCGACUCUGCUCCCCCACCACGGCGGGCUCCAGUCUGAGGCUAAAUCUACCCAAGACACUGGCUGUCAGACUGAUUUAGCUGCAAGAAUGCACUUGUCCAGGCUGAUGUGAAACCUUCCCUGUAGCAAAGCCAGCCAGAAUGGAGUUCACAGCCGCAGUGUGUCUGGUGACCCACAGGGUCCAUGAUGAAAAUUCAUCUUCCAGAAGGUCCCAGAGCGUCCAGACCCCCUGAAAAGACCAAGGUGUGAGGUGUCUGCUGUUGAUUCCAGCUUCCACCUCAGUGACAGUGCAAGCUCAGUGAACUGUUCAAGCCUGGCUGAUCACCUGAUAACUCCUGUCAUCUGGUUGUGACAGCAUGAGGAUGUCCUCACACACCUGUAACCUAUCAGCUCAUCCUGCUGAAUAGAGAGAGAAGAGACAACACCACAUCUCCUGUUCCUGGAAAGCCUUCAGCCAUCCUUCGAUGACUGAGAACCUCCAUCAGCUCUGUCUCCUGUCUGCCUACAAUUAUUAUAAUAAAUAUUGUGUGUGACAAGUUUUUUGUGCUGCCAAAUAUCUCAUUUAGAUUCCAGUUUUGAUAUUUUAAUGGAUAUUUAUAAAUUACAUUGAUUAUCACA